CCUACGGGGGACAGCAGUGAGGAAUAUUGGUCAAUGGACGAGAGUCUGAACCAGCCAAGUAGCGUGAAGGAUGACUGCCCUAUGGGUUGUAAACUUCUUUUAUACGGGAAUAAAAUAGGGCAUGCAUACCCUCUUGUAUGUACCAUAUGAAUAAGGAUCGGCUAAUUCCGUGCCAGCAGCCGCGGUAAUACGGAGGAUCCGAGCGUUAUCCGGAUUUAUUGGGUUUAAAGGGAGCGUAGGUGGAUUGUUAAGUGUGUUGUGAAAGGUUGCGGCUCAACCGUGACAUUGCAGUGCGAACUGGGAGUCUUGAGUACAGUAGAGGUAGGCGGAAUUCGUGGUGUAGCGGUGAAAUGCUUAGAUAUCACGAAGAACUCCGAUUGCGAAGGCAGCUCACUGGACUGCAACUGACACUGAUGCUCGAAGGUGUGGGUAUCAAACAGGAUUAGAUACCCGAGUAGUC
rnacentral:rRNA from 1 species